ACGUAAAAACAUAGGGCUGAGGCGAAAUACAGGUGUACGGGGGCAAGAGAUACAUGAAAAGAGCUGAUAUAUACGCUCAUAUACACUAAUAUACAUCAGGUGUAUACAAAAACGGGUUUAGGUUUAAACCCCAAAAAUUUCAGCGAAUUUGGCCCAAAAGGAGGCCCAAAUUCAAUUUCUCCCUUACUUUUUUAAUUAUUUAAUUGUGAAUUAUUUAUUGUUUGUUGUUUAAUUCUAACUUUAUAAUUUUUAAUUAACUUAAUUAGAUUCCCCAAAAGAUGAGUUAUUUUCUUUGUGUCGGUUUAAUUUUAA
rnacentral:lncRNA from 1 species